GAAUGAAAUACGAGUUCCACUACCCGCCCCCAGGUGGCAUACAUACUUUAAGGCUAGGCAGGCUAAGUUGAAUACUACUCUACAAUAGGUGGCGUUAAUGGACUACGAAAAACGACGUGAAAUGCUUACUUCUUUUUAUUUAUUUAUACUUUAAUGCCAAAAUUUUAACCUAAGGUGAACUUAAUCUCACAUUUAAUAAAUUAUACAUAAAUAAGUGUUUUGAGAAGUAGUAUUUUAAUCUAUGUUCUGUGAAUGACAAGUGUUAUCUGUCAAGUGUCAAAAAACUUGAAAAACUUUUACGAAGUUUUUGAAUUAUGUUAAAUUUGUUUAUAAACACAAGUAAGUAUAGAUUAUUACACUAAAUUAAGGCAUUCUAUCAAAAAUGAAAACAACCCAAGUUUCAAUAACUACUCCUGUAACUUUGGUUUCUUCAUAUCAAAUAAUCAAUUUCAUUUUCAGUGCCAAAGGCAAGAAUAAUUGCCCACGCCAGAUGGAGACCCAGCUAAAUAAUGUAGUAACAGCGCGUGGUCGUGUGAUGAGGGUUCCUUGACUUGAGUUCUGGCGCAACACGUCCUGGGCACUAAACAAGAUUGGGGAUGGGACGUCUAAAGAGGUGCAGGCCUGGAAAACGCUCUCGUCUUGCUCUACAGCACUUGCACUUGUCCCACCAUCUACCAGUGUUGGAACUCUUCCAAUAAUUACCCACACCCAGGUGGAGAAUACUCCAGUUGCUGCUACUGCUACUCUAAAAUAUCUCUCAUCUUGUUCUACAGCGCCUGCACCUGUCCUACCAUCUACCAGUGUUGGAACUCGUCGAAGUGUAUUAAUGAUUAUUAUUUUAGUAACCAUAAAAGUUUAAAACAAUACAUUUUAUUGCAUAAUUAUUUGUUAGAAAAAACGACAAGUACAAAUGAGUAGGGAGGCUGUUGAUUUUUCAUGGUUAUUUUAUAUCUUGUUGAUUGUUCCAAAAAAAAACUAAGUUUUCAAGAAUGCUGUGAUUAAAGUACCUAUAGUAUUAUAUUUAAAAUAAAAACUUAGUUUGUAAAGAGACGAAGGCUGACCACAAAAGAAGUACUUAUAGCUGUCUGUGUCUGUGUAAAGAAUUUAAAUAAAAAGAUGUGUAUAUUUAAA